GGGUGAGUGGCUGAAACCAACAGUUUGCUAAACUGUCGUACGGGUAACUGUACCGGGGGUUCGAAUCCCCCC
rnacentral:tRNA from 1 species